GAAGGUGUAGCUCAGUCGGUAGAGCAACGGACUUUUAAUCCGUAGGUCGUGGGUUCAAGUCCCACCGCCUUCA
rnacentral:tRNA from 1 species